rnacentral:rRNA from 1 species
UUGAACGCUGGCGGCAGGCCUAACACAUGCAAGUCGGGCGCGAAAGGUUUUCGGACUGAGUAAAGCGGCGGACGGGUGAGUAACGCGUGGGAAUCUGCCCAGUAGUGGGGGACAACAGUCGGAAACGACUGCUAAUACCGCAUACGCCCUACGGGGAAAAGGGGGGGAUCUUCGGACCUCUCGCUAUUGGAUGAGCCCGCGUCGGAUUAGCUAGUUGGUAGGGUAAAGGCCUACCAAGGCUACGAUCCGUAACUGGUCUGAGAGGAUGAACAGUCACACUGGAACUGAGACACGGUCCAGACUCCUACGGGAGGCAGCAGUGGGGAAUAUUGGACAAUGGGGGCAACCCUGAUCCAGCCAUGCCGCGUGUGUGAAGAAGGCCUUAGGGUUGUAAAGCACUUUCAGUGGGGAGAAAGGUUUGUCACCUAAUACGUGAUGAAAUUGAUGUUACCCACAGAAGAAGCACCGGCUAACUCCGUGCCAGCAGCCGCGGUAA